rnacentral:rRNA from 1 species
AUGAACGCUAGCUACAGGCUUAACACAUGCAAGUCGAGGGGCAGCGGGAUUGAAGCUUGCUUCAAUUGCCGGCGACCGGCGCACGGGUGAGUAACGCGUAUCCAACCUUCCGCUUACUCGGGGAUAGCCUUUCGAAAGAAAGAUUAAUACCCGAUGGUAUCUUAAGCACGCAUGAGAUUAAGAUUAAAGAUUUAUCGGUAAGCGAUGGGGAUGCGUUCCAUUAGGCAGUUGGCGGGGUAACGGCCCACCAAACCUACGAUGGAUAGGGGUUCUGAGAGGAAGGUCCCCCACAUUGGAACUGAGACACGGUCCAAACUCCUACGGGAGGCAGCAGUGAGGAAUAUUGGUCAAUGGGCGAGAGCCUGAACCAGCCAAGUAGCGUGAAGGAUGACGGCCCUACGGGUUGUAAACUUCUUUUGUGCGGGAAUAAAGGAACCUACGUGUAGGUUUUUGCAUGUACCGUAACGAAUAAGCAUCGGCUAACUCCGUGCCAGCAGCCGCGGUAAUACGGAGGAUGCGAGCGUUAUCCGGAUUUAUUGGGUUUAAAGGGAGCGUAGACGGGUUUUUAAGUCAGCUGUGAAAGUUUGGGGCUCAACCUUAAAAUUGCAGUUGAAACUGGAGACCUUGAGGACGGUUGAGGCAGGCGGAAUUCGUGGUGUAGCGGUGAAAUGCUUAGAUAUCACGAAGAACCCCGAUUGCGAAGGCAGCCUGCUAAGCCGCCACUGACGUUGAGGCUCGAAAGUGCGGGUAUCAAACAGGAUUAGAUACCCUGGUAGUCCGCACGGUAAACGAUGGAUACUCGCUGUUGGCGAUAGACAGUCAGCGGCCAAGCGAAAGCGUUAAGUAUCCCACCUGGGGAGUACGCCGGCAACGGUGAAACUCAAAGGAAUUGACGGGGGCCCGCACAAGCAGUGGAGUAUGUGGUUUAAUUCGACGCAACGCGAAGAACCUUACCAGGUCUUGACAUCCCGAUGCUAUUUCUAGAGAUAGAAAGUUACUUCGGUACAUCGGUGACAGGUGGUGCAUGGUUGUCGUCAGCUCGUGUCGUGAGAUGUUGGGUUAAGUCCCGCAACGAGCGCAACCCUUAUUGUUAGUUGCCAUCAUUUAGUUGGGCACUCUAGCAAGACUGCCGGUGACAAACCGGAGGAAGGUGGGGAUGACGUCAAAUCAGCACGGCCCUUACGUCCGGGGCUACACACGUGUUACAAUGGGGAGUACAGAGGGCAGCUACCGGGCGACCGGAUGCGAAUCCCGAAAGCUCCUCUCAGUUCGGACUGGAGUCUGCAACCCGACUCCACGAAGCUGGAUUCGCUAGUAAUCGCGCAUCAGCCACGGCGCGGUGAAUACGUUCCCGGGCCUUGUACACACCGCCCGUCAAGCCAUGAAAGCCGGGGGUACCUGAAGUACGUAACCGCGAGGAUCGUCCUAGGGUAAAACCGGUAAUUGGGGCU